rnacentral:rRNA from 1 species
UGAUUUACUCAUCUACGUCAGGUCAAAGUGCAGCUAAUGAAGGGGAGAUGAUGGGUUACACCCCCGAUAUCGGAACAAACCAUGAUACUAAUAAUCAUGUGAAGUUGGACUUGACUGUAAUUGUCACUAAAUAUAACAAUGAAACUGAAUCUAAGACAUGCACACAUCGCCCGUCACUCUCGCCCCCAGGCGAGAUAAGUCGUAACAGAGUAGGUGUAACGGAAGUUGCACCUGU